ensembl:lncRNA
GUCAGUGACUAGGCUACAUGGGGUUCUGCUAGGUGUCAGUGACUAGGCUACAUGGGGUUCUGCUAGGUGUCAGUGACUAGGCUACAUGGGGUUCUGCUAGGUGUCAGUGACUAGGCUACAUGGGGUUGUACUAGGUGUCAGUGACUAGGCUACAUGGGGUUCUGCUAGGUGUCAGUGACUAGGCUACAUGGGGUUCUGCUAGGUGUCAGUGACUAGGCUACAUGGGGUUGUCCUAGGUGGCAGUGACUAGGCUACAUGGGGUUCUGCUAGAUGUCAGUGACUAGGCUACAUGGGGUUCUGCUAGAUGUCAGUGACUAGGCUACAUGGGGUUCUGCUAGAUGUCAGUGACUAGGCUACAUGGGGUUCUGCUAGGUGUCAGUGACUAGGCUACAUGGGGUUCUGCUAGAUGUCAGUGACUAGGCUACAUGGGGUUCUGCUAGGUGUCAGUGACUAGACAAGGCAAGGCAUGACAAGGUAGCUAAUAAAGGAUCGUUUUCAAGCGGUUUGUUUACCCAGAAAUCAUUAACUGUCAACAUUAUACCAUUGUUCAUCAGCAGCACUCAACACAAAAAUGGAACAAGCUGCAUGAUUUGCCGCAAUCAAAGUUCCUUCUGGAAAAAAUACUCCAUUCAAUUCAAUUCAUCGAACGCAGUUACUGAUUUUGUUUAAUAAAGUUAUUUCUGUGCCACCCACACAAAGGCAAAAGGUGAUGUCAAAUGUUCAUGUCCUACAGACAGAGACACACUUAACAAAAAUAUAAAUGCAACAAUUUCUAAGACCUUACUGAGUUACAGUACAUAUAAGGAAAUCAGUCAAUUGAAAGAAAUGCAUUAGGCCCUUAUCUAUGGAUUUCACGUGACUGGGCAGAAGAACAACCAUUGGUGGGCCGGGGAGGGCAUAGGCCAACCUACUGGGGAGCCAGACCCACUCCCUGGGGAUAAUUUGUUUUUAUCCACAAAAGGGCUUUAUUAGACAGAAAUACUCCUCAGCCCCCCGCAGGUGAAGAAGACAGAUGUGGAGGUCCUGGACUGGUGUGGUUACACGUGGUCUGCGGUUGUGAGGCUGGUUGGACGUACUGCCAGAUUCUCUAAAACGAAGUUGGAGGCAGCUUACAGUAGAGAAAUUAAUAUUUAAUACCCUUGCAACAACUCUGGUGGACAUUCCUGCAGUCAGCAUGCCAAUUGCACGCUCCCUCAAAACAUGAGACAUUUGUGGCAUUGUGUUGUGUGACAAAACUGCACAUUUUAGAGUGUCCUUUUAUUGUCCACAGCACAAGGUGCACCUGUGUAAUGAUCAUGCUGUUUAAUCAGCUUCUUGAUAUGCCACACCUGUCAGGUUGAUGGAUUAUAUUGGCAAAUGAGAAAUGCUCACUAACAGGGAUGUAAACAUAUUUGUGCAUAAAAUAUGAGUGAAAUAAGCUUUUUGUGCGUAUGGAAAACUUCUUUCCAUGUUGAUUUGAUGUUUUUCAGUCUCCAUAAAGUAAAACACCAAACCCUACCCUCCUCCACUCCAAACUAGAGUGAGAAGAGGCUGCAAGAGAAAUAUAAAGUGGAGCAAAACUAGUACUUCCUCUCUAAGUCUAGCUGUAUCCCACACAUCUCUCAACAGAUAGCACUGAGCAAGGAGCAGCUUUAGGUCUGCCAGACAUCUCUCAA